UGCCCGCAAGAAAUUGUAGUGAGAGGUGCUGCAUGGCUGUCGUCAGCUCGUGUUGUGAAAUGUUGGGUUAAGUCUCGCAACGAGCGCAACCCCUAUCGUCUGUUGCCAGCAUUAAGUUGGGCACUCUGACGAGACUGCCUGGGUUAACCAGGAGGAAGGUGGGGAUGACGUCAAGUCCUCAUGGCCCUUAUGUCUAGGGCUACACACGUAAUACAAUGGCGCGUACAAAGGGAAGCGAACUCGCAAGGGGGAGCAAAUCUCAAAAAGCGCGUCUCAGUUCGGAUUGGAGUCUGCAACUCGACUCCAUGAAGUUGGAAUCGCUAGUAAUCGGAGAUCAGCACGCUCC
rnacentral:rRNA from 1 species